GUCGUGUUGCUGUCGUCGUUUACUCCAUAUCUAAUCUUCAACUGGAAUACAACAAAAAUCUAACGAUGUGGCUCUUUCAAGAUUCCCAGCCAACCACAUUUGAGUGUUCAGAAUGUGUAAUUCAAUGCAACGACGACCUAUAUGGAAUGGACAGUGUAGACCGAUGUAAGCUAAUUAAGUUCCUCCAGAAACCAAAAGAAAAAUACAGAUGGCUACGGCGACUGUUUGGGUGUCCCACAAAAACCAAGGUACGGGAGAACGAUGGCAAAUAAAGGAAUGAGAGAACCAUGGUAACGACAGAUUUCGACGAUCUUUUGGUGGAAGUUGCCACAACAGUCCGCAAAAAAGCAGAAAUCGACACAUUAGGGAAGAAACUUGGAAUAUCCCUGGGUGAUAUUCAAGGGUACUUAGCAACUAAUUACAAAGACCAGGAGGUAACACAUUAUGGAACUCUUCAAAUGCUCCGGGACUGGCAAAAAGGUCAAACGAAAUCUACCGAGCGAGGAGCUUUGAAGACUGCUUUGGAGGAAUCUGGACAAAUUCAUCUUGCUGAUGAUCUCUUUCCUUCCAGUCAGUAAAUACAUGAAGCAUAGCAGGAAUCAGUCGUGGUUCUAGAAAGACUGAUGGGGUCAUGCUUUGGUCAUUGAAGCAAUGAUGUUUGCUACAUUUCUACCAUAGUGAAUGUAUAUCAUAUCGACUAUUAGGUUUUUAUUUAUUUUUCGCAAAGUUCAAUUAUUUGGUGUUAUCAAUCGUUUUGUAUCACUCUUGUCUCAGGAGAAGAGUGUUUGUGUGGGUGCUGUUUUUUAUGACAAAUAAACAUAUAUGUAUAUAUUUGUCUGUGUGGACCCAGAAGGGAUAUUAUUUUACACAAAGUUAAGUACGGAUAGAUGUGGCUAUUAUUAGAUGAUCUGCCGCGCAGCGAAGCUCGGCAAAAUUAAUUUCACCAGAAUAUAUCUUUUUGGGUGAUCCGCCACGAAGCGUGGCAGAUCACCUAUUGAUUUCGUCAGAAGCUUGUUUUCUUUUUCUAUUCUUUCUGCAUGAAUUUUGUAUUGUGGAUGUCUCAUAAAUGGCAUGGCUAAUAACCAUGAAACUGUCAUGGCAUGUUGCAUGUGCAUGAUUAUUGUGCAUAACGAAGAGAUCUUUUUUUAUCACUAAUGCGUGACGUCAUCUAGGCGCCAUUUUGUUAAUUUCUAAUAUUGACCAUAUUUCAUUUAUACAUUGUCAUUUCUGAAUGAUUUUGUAUAUGCAUAAACUUGAGGUCACGGGUAAACCUCUGGUCACAACCAUGUCCGUGCGCGCGUACGCGUUUGUCAAAAUUCAAAAUUGGUCAAAUGCUUCUUGUACCAAAUUAGGGUAGGUGUGGGGAAUUGGAGACCC